rnacentral:rRNA from 1 species
GCAAAGGUAGCAUAGUCAUUAGUUCUUUAAUUGUGAUCUGGUAUGAAUGGCUUGACGAGGCAUGGGCUGUCUUAAUUUUGAAUUGUUUAUUGAAUUUGGUCUUUGAGUUAAAAUUCUUAGAUGUUUUUAUGGGACGAGAAGACCCUAUAGAGUUUAACAUUUGCUAUGGUCCUUUUUCUGUUUGUGAGGGUUCACUGGGCCAUUUAAUAUGUUUUGUUGGGGUGAUGGGAGGGAUUAAUUUAACCCCUCCUUUUUGUUAUUAUAUUUAUUUAUAUUUACUUGAUCCAUUUAUUUUGAUUGUAAGAUUAAAUUACCUUAGGGAUAACAGCGUUAUCUUCCUUGAGAGUUCUUAUCGGCAGGGGGGUUUGCG